rnacentral:misc_RNA from 1 species
UCCGGUUCAUCACCGGCAGUCUCCUUAGAGUCCCCACCUUUACGUGUUGGCAACUAAGGAUAAGGGUUGCGCUCGUUACGGGACUUAACCCAACAUCUCACAACACGAGCUGACGACAGCCAUGCAGCACCUGUCUCAUAGUUCCUUUCGGCACAACCAUAUCUCUACGGUCUCCUAUGGAUGUCAAGGGUAGGUAAGGUUCUUCGCGUUGCAUCGAAUUAAACCACAUGCUCCACCGCUUGUGCGGGCCCCCGUCAAUUCCUUUGAGUUUUAACCUUGCGGCCGUACUCCCCAGGCGGAGAACUUAUCGCGUUAGCUUCGAUACUAACAGGUCAAGCCUGCCAACAUCUAGUUCUCAUCGUUUACAGCGUGGACUAC